GGCCUCCAAGGCUGGGUGUGACCCCAUCUGGGCGCCCAGUGACCCCCCACCGAUGUGACCUCACAUCGCAAGCAGAUAAACUACCAACGCCUCGGUCGUCUGCAGACAGAAAGAAAACGAAGUGGUACGCUCUCGCAGCAGUCAUAAUCGGCGCUAUAGCUGUGGGCGCUGUGAUGUAUAAUAAUAACUCAUUACAACAACUAGACUAAAUUCUAAACAUCUAAAACCUAUAACUAACGGGCAUUACCGGACGGACUUGGUUCGGUUAGCAUAUUUCUUUCUCCCUCUUAAUUGUAGCUGCUUCUUUAACAGACGUACGGCGGACCUUCCAAUCGGUCGAACAGGCCUCGUACUGGACCAAGACGGUCUGGUACGCCCGUGUGUUACAGCUAUAAUCUAGCACAACUGUCUAUAUCGCCACAGGUGGAUUCUUCUGUUUUUCACAGAUAGUUGAUACUAUAACCCUAGCACAAAAAAGUUUUGAGUUCAAGCCUCCAUGACGCUCGAUUGUUCUGGUGAUUUUUUGGGAAAAAACGCAAAAACAGGCCAAAAGUUAAUUUAAUUUUAACCUGCCUUGUGAUUUAAGGGGCUAAUCGAGAUAAAAUAAUAACAUAUUCCUGCAGUAUUUCUGGACCGUUAUGACAUUCUAACCUUUUAAGAUUACUUUUAAGAUCGAAGCAAAAUAAUUAUUUAUGAAUAUACAUAUUGUACUAAGCGAGAAUCGAAAAAAAAAAUCUGACUUUUUGCAUUUAUUUAUUUGAUUAAACUUUAUUGCGAUAUUAUUUGACCAUUUUCUUUUUAAAUGUUUAUUAUUUUUACUCAAUCGCUAACGAUGUGAAUAUUGCGGAAAUUUUCCUAAAAGUUCUCAAAAAUAUCAAUACGAUUUCACAGAAAGCAAAAGAAACUUUAAUUUUGGAAAUGGAAAAUUCUGAUUCCUAUAUUUAAAUAUGAGAAGUAUCCGAAAUGUUUCAUUGUUGAACUUGUAGCAAUUUUUGAAUUUUUGCGACGGCAUAAAUUUGGUACAAUUAGAGAGCAUUUUAUUUUAUAGUUUAUACUUACUAAUAAUCACAAAUGACUUAGAGUUUAAAAUUACAUUUAAACCUCCGUCUGCUCAGUAGAAAUGUGAAGUAACUAUAUCGUCUGAAUGUAACAAUAAACAAAUAUCACGUGAAA